ACUUCAAUGGCUCCGAAUCCGAAGGUUGGACUUGUAUGAGGAGGAUUUUUAACAUUUUGAUCGGGUUUGUAAACACUCUGAUUCCGCAUUCCAUCUACCAGGCUAUAGCACCUGCUCUCGCGAAGAAGUAGAAGUUCGCUCUCGAAGAUUGCCAAUGUAAUCGCAUCAUCGGGGUUGAUAUGAUGAUAUCUAUAUGAUUAUCAUCGGUUUCUACCUUUCGUUAAUCUAAAUAUGUUUGUAUUUCAAGUUUUGCAUUUAGAUAUAAGUUAGGUAAG